CCGUGCAAGCUGGGGAGGCGGCGGUUCCCUGUUACUCGUGAAGUCCGCCAUAGCGAGGGUGAUGCCUGCCAUAGGCUCCUCUCUUGUGAAGUCUGCCCCAUGUAAGCGGUGUUGACGGUUGAGUCUUACGCAACGGGCGUUCGUGAACCGCGUCAGGUCCGGAAGGAAGCAGCGCUAAGCGGAAUUGCGCGUGUGCCGUAAGGGCGCUUGGCCAGAGCUGGCUGCGUGGGUUACGUUUGGAAGGGAGUGUCAACGGCAGGCGCACGG
rnacentral:SRP_RNA from 1 species